GGGUUGGAAACUCUGACACCCUAAAAGGUGUUGAAGUGUGUCAAUCGGGUGUUUUUGGGUGUUUCUCGGCGCUUUGACAUUUUUGACAAUAAAUGUGAUAGACGUCAUCUUUUUCAAAUUACUGGCAACACUUCCGAAAUCCCCUCAUCGCCGUUUUGUUUUGAUAUUGACUUCAACGCCGGUGGUGUACAAUCGAAGCGGUCGAAACCCAAAUCGGUCUACCUUGCUGGAUGUAGCGGUUCACGGUUCCGGAAUCGGAUGUUGUCAUCACCGAUUGAACAAACUGUUCCUUCUUGAGCAGGUCACCCAUUGUUGCUAUUGCUACCAAAAAAUCCAGAUUUGGAAGCAACACCUGGAGAGGUUCCGCCGGAGAAAUGAGAGUUAUUGUUCCAGUAGAUAAUGGUAUUGGAGAGAUUUGACAACAAUGAUCAAGGACUCAGGCAUGUUUUCCUCUUGCGGUUCCAGAGGGGAUGUGAUUUGGCGUAGUACUUCUUAAGAUCCGCAGUAAGCGAAACUUAUUGCGAUGAUUGACAACCUUGAGGGUGUUCCGCGGUAUAGGGAUGGUCAAAGAGCAUCGAACCACGCAACAGGAAUCGUGGGUAUGCGAUGGGAUACUUCUUGGGUAAGAUUAUUGUUUCUUCGAAACAAAAUUUAAAAGAUGCACUAAUGUACCUGAUGUACUAAUUAUUUUUUUAAAAGAUAAUGUAAAAAAAAACAAAAUUGAUAUUCCUGUCCGAAAAAUAAAUCAUAUCUCCUCGCCUUCUUGCAAAUCUCGCAGAGCAGGAUGAUAUCGUUGGUAGUAUUUCUAUACUUGAUUCCAUCGAGGUCCUCGGGUGGGACGAACACUUCCGGCUAUUCUCGAACUCCGCCGUUGAUGAUUCUUAUUUGAUUUCGGUCGUGUUGGCGUGGGAGGGCUUCUACGUUAGUUUCGGAUCCUUUUAAAAGGAUAUUUGGGUAGGCUUUUGGAUCGAUUCGGUGUCGAGUUCGGUACUUCCUAGAAGAUUUGGUGUGAAGGCGUUCCCGGGUUCAGACUCAGCUAGGGACGGUGUCGAUCCAUUCCGGUGUUAAACUCGUUGGUUUUAUCCUGUUUCUCUUACGGCCGAUUUCUUCACCCUGGCUUAAGCGUUAAACCAGGUUUAACUAUAUGAGUAAGCCUGGCUUACCGGUUAAGCCGAGGUGAAGAAAUCGGCCCUUAGGAGGUAUCCAGCAUGUCGAUCGAUUCUAACGUUUAAUCAGGAAUACAUUUUCCGAUCUGAUCCGAUCGGGUGCCAUUUCAACCCUGUAGUAUCUGACCAGGUAGUAUCGUUCAUUAGUCGAGGCGAUUGAAGUCGUAGGACGAGAUAGUUCGCAGGUGGCCCUUGACCAGGAUGUUGAACAAUCCUACGGUGGGAUGCCGCUGUUGACACCGAACUUGAGAAGCUUCUUUAAAAAUUCCGUUCAAUCCCAUUGCACUGAGAGAAGGACUAGAGCUUUUGCCAAGGUCUUAGAAUCAUUUUACGGAAAUCUGGCUCCGGAAUCGAAAGUUGUCAUCGCCGAAUCUUGGACUCUGAAACUAAUAAAACAAUACUCACGAAAUCGUGUAUCACCUAGAAAGUCAGCCACAAAAGUAUUCAUCAAUGAUUCCCAGGAACCCGAGAAGGAACCAGCAAGUUGAGUCAGGAGGAUGCGAAAGCAAGCGGAACGAGCAAGGAAACUGCAUCUAAAAAGCAGCCGAUUGAAGAAGGGAAGCCCGUAGGUAAAUCCUAAGUAAAUCUCAGGGUAAAUCCAUUAAUGUCUAUAGACUAUAUAUAGUUGGAAACUAGUUGAUUCCUGGAAUACGGAUGCCUACGACAGGUUAGUAGGUGACAUGAACAAGUUACACUUUUCCCAUUUGUGUGAGGGUUUCCCGUCAACAUCAUUGCGCAGCCAAGCUGCUGGGCUGGAUAAGAUUCCUGAGAAAGGUCAAGAGGAUUGAGUAUCCAUAGAUUCGAUAUCGUGCACAUCGAUUGCAUCACUCAAGAGCAAGGGAAAUAGGAAAAGUAGAAGUGGGCGGAUAUCUGUCAGGUGACACGAUGGACAAUAAGAUUCGAACCGAAAUUGAGGAAACAGGAGAGAAAGAUAGUAUCAGUAUUCGAGAACGGAUGAGGAUGACGAUUCAUCACAUCGUUACACAAAUUGAGAAAUUCAAAAACAAUAAACUUGAUUACAUUUAUUGCAACCAGCUGGAUUGCAUCAAUACAUUAUUCUUUUAUUUGAAUUCAUACCUAUCACAUACAUAUACUUUCGAAUUUCUAGUGGUUCGUCCAAAUAGGCCCAAAUGAUCCGCCAGGAAGCAAUCGGUCGUAAAAUCCUACGAAGCUUCCUCCAGUAAAUAUUUCGCACGAAUGGGAUGCUUGACCCCACAGACAGCAAUAGCGGUGACGCCGUCUUCGGUUGCUGGUUCAGAAGCGUAUGAACCAACAUUACGGACAAUCGCCAUGCUGAUCUUCCUUUAGGAGCCAACUCGUUGUUGCUGUUGCUAUUGAAGAAUUCGGAAAGGAUGGAAGCGGCACGCGAUACCAUCCUAAAAAGUUCCGCCGAUGGAAGAAAUGGUUCCGAGAUUACUUCCUCCGGUGGAUGGUGGAGUGAAAGCGGCGGCGAUGAUCAAGUGGUUAGGGCAUCUUCCUCUUGUAAUUCCUGGGAUGUGAUUUGGCCUAGAGUACCUUAGCCACAUCAAAGUCAUUCGAUGGAACGAGCUUUUCCCGUUAAUCCCGAAUUCUGCCACCGGUGGCCGUGGAUUGACUUCGGUUGUCUUGGUAUACAGGAUGGCUUCGAACCUUUCUCGGAGUACGCUUUUGAUCAAUUUGAUGAUUCUCGGAAGUUUGGGUUGGGUCGUCCUGGCGAUCAUUCUGGUGCUGGAGUAGUUGGCUUCUUUCCAGUUCUUUUUGCAUAUCCAGAAUAUCGAUCAAUUCUAUACGUUGAACAAUCUCUCGAUCAAUCCUACGGUAGGAUGACACUUUUGACUGGUGUUCCAGUCUCGCGAUGAUGGUUUACUUGAAAACUUCGCCGCACUACGAUUAGAACUGGAGUUUUUUACUUCCGGGACUGUUUACUGACCGUAAUAUCCCGGUAAUAACCGAGACUUCGAUCCUCGCUUUGAUCGGAAUAAACUCCAUUUGAAGUAUCGAGCCAUCCGGAGGUUCCUCUUUCCUCUUGGUCGUUAGGCUUGCUGGAGGAGGUGUUGUGGUCCGUUCCGCCGAUGUUCCGUUGGUGGCAAUGGUCCUUCAUGCCAAUGGCUUUGCAGGGAAUCUGAAUACUUUUAAUCACUUUGUCUUUAAAACCUCGUUAGAAACUUUCCGAUCGCCACUGGCCAGCGACUCUGAAAACGUAAACAAAAAUAUCGACAGAACAGUGAUGCCAGUAAAAUAGAAAAAAAUCGCGAUGGUACAUUUGAAUGGUGUCGAAAGGUGUCAAAAGGUGUUUUUGGUGUGUUAAACGGGUGUUUCACACAAGGUGUCAGAGUUUCCAACCCC